rnacentral:rRNA from 1 species
AGAGUUUGAUCCUGGCUCAGAAUCAACGCUGGCGGCGCGCUUAACACAUGCAAGUCGAGCGAGAAAGGAGAGCAAUCCCUGAGUAAAGCGGCGUACGGGUGAGUAACACGUGGAUGAUCUACCUUUUAGUGGGGAAUAACCCUGGGAAACCGGGGCUAAUACCGCAUAAUCCUGCGAAGGGAAAGCGCCUAUUUAAAAGAUGGGCGCGCUGAAGGAGGAGUCCGCGGCCGAUUAGCUAGUUGGUGAGGUAAAGGCUCACCAAGGCGGUGAUCGGUAGCCGGCCUGAGAGGGCACACGGCCACACUGGCACUGAAACACGGGCCAGACUCCUACGGGAGGCAGCAGUGGGGAAUCUUGCACAAUGGAGGCAACUCUGAUGCAGCGACGCCGCGUGAGCGAUGAAGCCCUUCGGGGUGUAAAGCUCUUUCGGCAGGGACGAUCAUGACGGUACCUGAAGAAGAAGCUGCGGCUAACUACGUGCCAGCAGCCGCGGUAAUACGUAGGCAGCGAGCGUUGUUCGGAAUUACUGGGCGUAAAGAGUGUGUAGGCGGUGCUCUAAGUUCGGUGUGAAAUCUCCUGGCUCAACUGGGAGGGUGCGCCGGAAACUGGAGUGCUUGAGCGUGGGAGAGGAAAGCGGAAUUCCUGGUGUAGCGGUGAAAUGCGUAGAUAUCAGGAGGAACACCUGUGGUGUAGACGGCUUUUCUGGACCAUAGCUGACGCUGAGACACGAAAGCGUGGGUAGCAAACAGGAUUAGAUACCCCCGUAGUCC